CUCAACAAACUCAACUUCAUUUUUGAUUCUACGCUUCUUCACUCUCAAAAAAAUAAAACACAAGCUAUGAAGAAAUCGACUCCGGAUCCAAGAUGGAGCUUCACCAAAUUCCUAUUCAAUUCGUCGUCCGUCCUUACCAAAUCGGAAUCAAUCCGUAUUCAUGCACAAAAUUGAGAAGAUUUGCGGACGUAUCGUGGCCGCGUUCGAUAAAUUUAAUCUGAUAGUAUGAGCAAGAGGCAGUUGCUCAUGAUGAUGCAAUGCUUCUCCGAUGACUGUGCAAGGCUAGCUUGACAAAGUUGCAAGGUAAGGUGGAGGCAAGGCAAGUGAGCAUUCAUGGCAUAGCAAGAAGCAAACUUGGUGCAAAGUUGAGUUUUCUUGCUCAUGAAGCAAAUGGAGUCAUGGAAGAUUGAAGAAUGAAGAAUGAAGCUACAAUUAGUACUAGGGUUUAGGUCAUGGAAAAAGAGGUUGAUUGACUUUGGUCAACCGGUUGACAAAAAGUCAACCUUUGUAAAAUUUACGUUUUUUUUUUUUGUAUUUCCUUUUGUAAUGGACAAUAUAAGUGUUGAAUGAAUGAAUGGACCUUUAUUUGAA